rnacentral:rRNA from 1 species
CUACGUGCCAGCAGCCGCGGUAAUACGGAGGAUGCAAGCGUUAUCCGGAUUUAUUGGGUUUAAAGGGUGCGUAGGCGGUAUUACAAGUCAGGGGUGAAAUCUUGGUGCUUAACAUUAAAAUUGCCUUUGAAACUGUGGUACUUGAGUGUAAAAGAGGUAGGCGGAAUGUGUUGUGUAGCGGUGAAAUGCAUAGAUAUAACACAGAACCCCGAUUGCGAAGGCAGCUUACUAUCAUACAACUGACGCUGAUGCACGAAAGCGUGGGGAUCAAACAGGAUUAGAUACCCUGGUAGUCCACGCAGUAAACGAUGAUUACUAGCUGUUAGCGAUAUACUGUUAGUGGCUAAGCGAAAGCGAUAAGUAAUCCACCUGGGGAGUACGUUCGCAAGAAUGAAACUCAAAGGAAUUGACGGGGGCCCGCACAAGCGGAGGAACAUGUGGUUUAAUUCGAUGAUACGCGAGGAACCUUACCCGGGCUUGAAAUGC